rnacentral:rRNA from 1 species
GAUGAACGCUGGCGGCGUGCUUAACACAUGCAAGUCGAACGGAAAGGCCGAAGAUUGCUUCGGUACUCGAGUGGCGAACGGGUGAGUAACACGUGGGUGAUCUGCCCUGUACUUCGGGAUAAGCUUGGGAAACUGGGUCUAAUACCGGAUAUGACGAUCUCUUGGAUGGGGUUGUGGAAAGCUUUUGCGGUAUGGGAUGAGCUCGCGGCCUAUCAGCUUGUUGGUGGGGUAAUGGCCUACCAAGGCGUCGACGGGUAGCCGGCCUGAGAGGGUGUACGGCAAAAUUGGGACUGAGAUACGGCCCAGACUCCUACGAGAGGCAGCAGUGGGGAAUAUUGCACAAUGGGCGCAAGCCUGAUGCAGCGACGCCGCGUGGGGGAUGACGGCCUUCGGGUUGUAAACUCCUUUCGCAAUCGACGAAGCCUUUUGGUGACGGUAGGUUGAGAAGAAGCACCGGCUAACUACGUG